UCUGACUUUGGGGCACAGGUACGGUACAUGUUGGAGAAUGCCACAAAGCAGUGGGGUUGUCAUUUUCAUUGAGGGGAAUGAAUAGUUACUUCCUAAUUAUACUGUAAUCAGAUUUCAUAGAGCUACUGGGAGAAAUGGGAUGUGCAGCAUUGAAUAAUCUCUAAUAUUCUGUCUGUUCACAGACGGUUAGGCAGAAGAUGGCGAUUAACCCUUUCUGAAAAAUGAACAUGUAACAUGAAAUAAGCAAAGGACUUAACAAAAGAAGACUGCUUUGUGGACUUUCAGUUCAUCCUUUUUCUCCCGCUUGUAUGACUUUUACACCAUAUGCUACACCUGCGAGUUCGCUGAAAUUUUGUAGAUAUUGACCUUGUCCUGAGAAACAGUCUCAGAAUCAGAUGUCUGUAUAAUCUGUUGAAAUCUAUACUAAUCUACUAUACUAAACAUGAAAUAAGAUGAAACUGUUUGGUUUUCUGUGUGAAUCAUACUUAAGGAAACUAGUUAAAUUUAUGAUGGGUUGUAAAUUUUAUUCUUUUGCCCUUCUAUUUAGGUGUUUAUUUAACUAAAGGAAGAGCAUCUCCGCCAAGAACAAUCUGGAUAGUCACAGAAUAGAACAAUAGCAAAUGGAAUAAUCAAUAAGCACAAAUUAAAUCUGUCCAGUAUAAAGAAGUAGUAGAACAGUGCCCUUUGUUUUAGGUUCCACUGCUUGAAAUUUUUUAAGAGAAACAGGUUUGAGAAUUGGGGGUAGAAUGGCUUCCUUCACAUACAGAAGUCUCUGUUUAAUUAUUUUUCUGCUUCUUUUCUAGCUCAAGUCAGCUGAAGGAGGUUGUUUUCAAAUGUUUCAAGAGAGGAAGGAAGGAUGGUAGUAGGAGAUACAGCCCCUACUUCAAAAUCAGCGCAAGUGAUAAAUAUAGCAAAUGAUUACAAAGCAAAAGGAUAGAGAUCGUUGGAAGGAACAGUCUUCAUGUCAUCCAUAUAAAGCCAAGACGUCAUGUCAGACUGAAGCUAAUCUGCAAACUGUGAAGUCUUGAAAGAUUAGUUUUCAAUCCAACAGCACCCUCAGAUUUGGGUAAGUAAGCUAAGCUCGGCUCCCUCAAUAUGCAGAUUGCAGGUUUCCAGUUAGAGUUCCCCCUUUCCCUUCUCAUAUACUUAGGGAUCCAGAAUUCUGCUAGCAUUUUUUUCCUAUUUCCUUUUGA
rnacentral:lncRNA from 1 species